rnacentral:rRNA from 1 species
GAUUAACGCUAGCGGCAGGCGUAAUACAUGCAAGUUGAACGGCAGCACAGGUAGCAAUACUGGGUGGCGAGUGGCGCACGGGUGCGUAACACGUAUGCAACCUACCCUAUACAGGCGAAUAACCUUUAGAAAUGAGGGCUAAUACGCCGUAGUAUUACAGAUGGGCAUCUAUUUGUAAUUAAAGAUUUAUCGGUAUAGGAUGGGCAUGCGUCCCAUUAGUUAGUUGGUAAGGUAACGGCUUACCAAGACGAUGAUGGGUAGGGGAUCUGAGAGGACUUACCCCCACACUGGUACUGAGACACGGACCAGACUCCUACGGGAGGCAGCAGUAAGGAAUAUUGGGCAAUGGCCGCGAGGCUGACCCAGCCAUGCCGCGUGCAGGAAGACGGCCUUAUGGGUUGUAAACUGCUUUUAUACGGGAAUAAUAGAGUGUACGCGUACAUUUAUGCAAGUAUCGUAUGAAUAAGCAUCGGCUAACUCCGUG